CUAAGUCCUAAAUCACCAAGCAGCAAAAGAAACCAACCCAUUCCUCUUUGUUCUCUCUUUUUCAACCAUUUUGGCUGCUCUGUUUCAGUUUUGCUCUGCUUCUGUUUACUCUGUUUUUGCUCUGUAUUUUGAGCAAGUAAAAAAUCUUCUUCUUAUUGAAACAAAGCGCUGUUUUACUACUUGAAGCUUUGAGCUAAGACAGUGUGUGGUUUUGGGAAAUGUAUGCAGAGACUGGGCUUUUGUUCCCGUACUUUCAGAAUUUCUCUCAAGAGGUUCAACAACUUGAGGAAUUCUGCAAAAUCCAGAAGUCCAAUGCUUUAAUGGGUGACCUGGUUCAAUCCUCUAUGAUAUCAGAGUAUGACCUGGGAGGAGAAGGGGAUCUAUUCAAAGCUCCAGAACCCAUUAUUGAAGAGCCGGCUGUGAGCCUUGAUCCCAUGACGGCGGCUAUUUCAAUGGUAUCUUGUGGUGAAGAUGUCAUCUCCCAUCAAGCACUGAAGGUUGCAGACAUUGAAUCACUUCAAAAGGAGCAGCUUUUAAGUGAGGUCUUUUAUGCAUGCGAGAAGGAUCUGUUUGAAAAAGCAGCAAUAGACGCACCGCUUUCUGAAGUCUUGGAUAUUAAGAUCCCAAUUUUGAGGGCAGAUAAUAGCCAAAUUCAAGAGGACAAACCUCUUCUUGAUGUACCAUUUCAGAAAAGUGUCAGCUCGGGAUGUUUACACUCAAUGGACUGGAUGCAUGGAGCUGUGACCAAGCCAAGUUUUCUGGAUUUUCCUGGAAUGGAUUUUGGUUCUGUUUAUGGUAUGCGGCGGGCAUUUAGUGAAGGAGACAUUAAGGAUGGGGCUGGGUCAUUGAUACUGAGUUUUUAUGACAGACUCUUGGAAAUGGUAACAUAAGCCUCAUCCACUCUCCCCAUGAGAGGCCCUUCAUCAGCAACUGCACCUCAGAGGAACGUAGGGAAAAGCUUUCAAGAUACAGAACUAAGAAGACGAAGAGGAAUUUUGGCAGGAAAAUAAAGUAUGCCUGCAGGAAGGCUCUUGCUGACAGCCAACCAAGGAUUCGCGGAAGGUUUGCCAAGACUGAAGAAACCGAAGCCAGGAGACAAUAACUGUUGACCAAUAUGGUAUGAAGAAAGGAGGAAUGAAGUAGCUAGGUCCGAUUAUGCAAUGGAAGAGAACAGUAGUGCAAAUCUGGCAUAUGGAAGACUUAGUCUACCAUACUUCCCCCCCUCCCCCUCCUAUUUCUGUAAUAACCUCCUCUUUACCUACCGUGAGCAAGUAGAGUUGUAAAUAGAGUAUGCUAAAUAAAAGAGGAAGCCCCAAAAAAAAAAAAAAAAAAUGAUUUGUACUUGUUCAUAUAAUAGAUGUUUAUCGAAUGCCAAUAUUAGUGUUUUUCUUUCA